AGAGACCGGCGCACGGGUGCGUAACGCGUAUGCAAUCUACCUUUCACAGAGGGAUAGCCCAGAGAAAUUUGGAUUAAUACCUCAUAGUAUAGUACAACGGCAUGGUUGAACUAUUAAAGUCACAACGGUGAAAGAUGAGCAUGCGUCCCAUUAGCUAGUUGGUAAGGUAACGGCUUACCAAGGCUACGAUGGGUAGGGGUCCUGAGAGGGAGAUCCCCCACACUGGUACUGAGACACGGACCAGACUCCUACGGGAGGCAGCAGUGAGGAAUAUUGGACAAUGGGCGCAAGCCUGAUCCAGCCAUGCCGCGUGCAGGAUGACGGUCCUAUGGAUUGUAAACUGCUUUUGCACAGGAAGAAACAACAUUACGUGUAAUGUCUUGACGGUACUGUGAGAAUAAGGAUCGGCUAACUCCGUGCCAGCAGCCGCGGUAAUACGGAGGAUCCAAGCGUUAUCCGGAAUCAUUGGGUUUAAAGGGUCCGUAGGCGGUUUAGUAAGUCAGUGGUGAAAGCCCAUCGCUCAACGGUGGAACGGCCAUUGAUACUGCUAGACUUGAAUUAUUAGGAAGUAACUAGAAUAUGUAGUGUAGCGGUGAAAUGCUUAGAGAUUACAUGGAAUACCAAUUGCGAAGGCAGGUUACUACUAAUGGAUUGACGCUGAUGGACGAAAGCGUGGGUAGCGAACAGGAUUAGAUACCCUGGUAGUCCACGCCGUAAACGAUGGAUACUAGCUGUUGGGCGCAAGUUCAGUGGCUA
rnacentral:rRNA from 1 species